UACGUAGGGUGCAAGCGUUAAUCGGAAUUACUGGGCGUAAAGCGUGCGCAGGCGGUUAUGCAAGACAGAUGUGAAAGCCCCGGGCUUAACCUGGGAAUGGCCGUUGAAACUGGCGAACUGGAGUGUGGCAGAGGGGGGUGGAAUUCCGCGUGUAGCAGUGAAAUGCGUAGAGAUGCGGAGGAACACCGAUGGCGAAGGCAGCCCCCUGGGCUAACACUGACGCUCAGGCACGAAAGCGUGGGGAGCAAACAGG
rnacentral:rRNA from 1 species